rnacentral:misc_RNA from 1 species
GAUGAAGAACGCAGCGAAAUGCGAUACUUGGUGUGAAUUGCAGAAUCCCGUGAACCAUCGAGUCUUUGAACGCAAGUUGCGCCUCAAGCCAUUAGGUUGAGGGCACGUCUGCCUGGGCGUCACAUAUCGUUGCCUGAUGCCAGUUUCCUCGUGAUGGGUGACUGUGCAGGGCGAAUGAUGGCUUCCCGUGAGCAUUGUUGCCUCAUGGUUGGUUGAAAAUUGAGUCCUUGGUAGGGAGCGCCGUGAUAGAUGGUGGUUGAGUGACGAACGAGACCCAAUCAUGUGAGACCCCUACCAAAUUUGGCCUUCAUGACCCACAUGCGUCUUUGGAACGCUCAUGACGAGACCUCAGGUCAGGCGGGGCUACCCGCUGAGUUUAAGCAUAUCAAUAAGCGGAGGA